rnacentral:rRNA from 1 species
AAAGCAGCAGGCGCGCAAAUUAUUCAAUGGAAACAAUUUUCCGAAAUAGUGACAAAAAAUAUCAAUGCUGGGUACUAUGUAUCUAGUAAUUGGAAUGAGUACAAUUUAAAUCCCUUAACAAGUAACAAUUAGAGGGCAAGUCUGGUGCCAGCAGCCGCGGUAAUUCCAGCUCUAAUAGCGUAUAUUAAUAUUGUUGCAGUUAAAAAGCUCGUAGUUGAAAUUUGGAACUUUAUUGUAUUGGUUUGUCUUUUGAUGAACUAUAUAAUGGGUUUCUUCCUACUAGAGUUCGAUUCUGUUCUUAACUGAAUGGAGUAGCUAUCUCUCGGGUAGUCAGUUGGUUAUUAUGUCUCCACUAAUAAGCAGAGAGGAGUAAAAUCUUCAAAGUGAGUUAUGUGGAUUGGGGUAUAGUGAUUAA